GAGACACUGGACCCCAAGCGCUUUCUGUGUGUGCAAUUCGUGAUGGACUGAAACACGGACAAAUACAGGCUACUUUGCGCUUUGUAUGUGUCAAAUGUCCAUCUAGUUGGCCUCUGAUAAAUUUGGUACACGGACAGACACUCAAAGAAAACAAAAAUGCCAGUAGCAUCCGCCAGCUCCGACUCAGUGAUGCAGAGUCUUCUGGACACCUUAAGUGACAGUACCAGCUCCACCACAGCCAAUGACCUGGACCUCAUCUUCCUGAAAGGAAUCAUGGAGAGUCCAG
rnacentral:lncRNA from 1 species